rnacentral:lncRNA from 1 species
AACAGAUGAAGGGGAUUCCAUGUCAUCUACCACUGUUGCACAGAUGGCCCUCCCUCAGCUCUCACCUAUGGUUUCGUGGGAGUUUUCCCAUGACCAGCUGAUAGAAGAGAAAAAAGCCUAGGCUUGGUGGGCACAGUAUAUUGGUGCAAGCCAAAAAUAGACAGCUGUUAGACUACCACCCCACCUAGGAGUGCUGAGGGGAAAUCCUCAGGGAGGGGGCGUUUUAGGCAAAGAACUUGGCCAUUCAUUUUGCGUGAAGGGAGAAGUGAUCCAAGAUGUGUCUCUGAUCUUGAAGGAAAAAAAUGAAAGGCUUUGUUAUGUCUCCGGCAAAAGAGAUAUGGAAAACAAAUGGGACGGCAAGUGGUUGGAGCUGAGAUGUGAAAGCACAAUGAAUGGAGGAUGCCACAUCAUUACCUGGGGAGAGAGCACUCUGCCUUCUCAUUGAAUCUCAGCAACUUGUCUAGGGUAGGAGGGGGCAUUGCUAUAAAACCAUUCCUUCUUUGUGAAAAUGGACCUUGAACUUACCGGUUUCUUUAAGAGCCUACCAUAUUUGCUGAGAGAACAAAGGGCUUCAUUCCAGUGCCUGGAUCAGACUUAGAUAUUUUGAAACUUCACAGCUCAUAUUGCUGACAAAGAGCAUGCUGCUCUUUCAUGUGAUUUAUAUGAAAUGGUGGCCCAAUAAAAACUUGAGGAAGAAUGGCUACCUUCUGCCCUUAGGAGAUUCUGCCUUUUUGACUCUAUUCUUGGUUAGCCAAAAGAACAAUGAGAAUUAAGGUGCUUUGUUUUUUUUUUUAUUGACAAUGAUUGGUUGUAUUUUCUUACUCAGCUGUUCACUCAACACCAAAAGCCUUAAAAAAGUAAGAACCAAGAUUGCAGAUGGCAGUGAGGCCUUUGAGACCCUCAGUGCUCUGUGACGGUCUUUCAGGAAGUGAGCCUUUUUACCUGAGUUAAGUAGGAACCUUGUAAUUGCAUAAAUUCUCCAUGCUUGCUGGUUUUU